CAACCUUCAAGCACGGCUUGUGUGUUGAGCGGUCUGUUCUUGAUGAACAGGGCUCGAAAUGCAGCGGCGAUGGCGAGAUUGGUGCCCGAGCGUAUGGGGCUCUGUCACACGCUCUGGUGGCUCCAGCUUGCAGUCUGCCAACACUAUAUAUUUAUUAUAUACACCAACCAUU
rnacentral:misc_RNA from 1 species